AGGAAAUAGAUACGUAUAGAUACCAUAGGAUAGAUACCGAUCAUAACUGUACAUUUUGUUUUCACAGACUAAUCUCGCCUCAUAAUGAGGCGGUGACCUCCUAUUUGCUCGGAGCAAUAUCUGCAAGUCCAGAUUUACACCAUGUUGAUAAAGACGACAUUGUGUCCGCCUGUAAGACAUAUACAGUACGGUACGCAGAAGCUUUAGAUAUACCCAGCCAGAAAACUCAUUGCGGGCGGAAGCUGCGAAGAGUUCAGCGAGUCGAGCGAGAAGAAAGAGGCUGCUGGAAUCGAGACAGAGUGUGCUAGCAGAUGACGAGGUGGAACUCUGGAAGUCCGCCACCGUAGACCUCAUGUCUGACGAAGAAGAUGGCGUUGUUGGCGGGGUCUCUGGAUUGAUUGUACGGUCGCCGUCAUUUCGUAGGCCGGAGCUCUCUGAACUCUGUGCGAAGCUGCAGUCCCGGUUAGAGGCGAAGCCGAAGUACAGAGCCACGCACAAUCGGCGUCUGCACAACGGACCUGCCUCGGAAAGAACGCCGCCAGUUACCUACAACCCUUAGGAGGCAAACGGACAGUUCACGGAGUUGUAGUUUUUGGAUCAUCCUCUACCCAUGUGUGGGCAGAUCCUCGCUUUGUAUAUAGUUGUGUUUGUUUUAAUAAAGCUCUUUCUUUGCAUAAA